GUGGGGAAUAUUGGACAAUGGGCGAAAGCCUGAUCCAGCCAUGCCGCGUGGAGGAAGACUGCCCUCUGGGUUGUAAACUCCUUUUAUAUGGGAAGAACCGUCCUCAUUAAUGAGUGACCUGACGGUACCAUAGGAAUAAGCACCGGCUAACUCCGUGCCAGCAGCCGCGGUAAUACGGAGGGUGCAAGCGUUAUCCGGAUUCACUGGGUUUAAAGGGUGCGUAGGCGGAUAAAUAAGUCAGUGGUGAAAUCAACGGGCUCAACCUGUUAACUGCCAUUGAUACUGUGUAUCUUGAAUAUGAGAGAGGUAGGCGGAAUGUUGCAUGUAGAGGUGAAAUGCUUAGAUAUGCUACGGAACACCGAUUGCGAAGGCAGCUUACUAUUUCGUAAUUGACGCUGAGGCACGAAAGCGUGGGUAGCGAACAGGAUUAGAUACCCCAGUAGUCC
rnacentral:rRNA from 1 species